AAGAGCUCCCAUCAGGUCAUCUUCAUCAUCAGCCAUGUUCUCUGCAGCUCUGAUACUGCUGCUGACAGCUGCAUCCUGUGUCAACAGUAUUGAUCUCAUCCAGCCAGGAUCAAUGGUUGUUCAGCCUGGACAGACUCUGACCAUCACCUGUCAGCUCUCUGGUUACUCUAUCACUGUUAACAGCUAUGCUACAGGCUGGAUCAGACAGGGUGAAGGAAAACCCAUGGACUGGAUCUCUCACAUGUGGGGUGGUGGUACACUUCGGGAAAAUAAUGUUCUGAAGAACAAGUUCAGUCUCAGCAGAGACACUUCUGCUGGGACAGUGACUCUCACAGGACAGAACAUGCAGCCUGCAGACACAGCUGUGUAUUACUGUGUUAGAGUACGCUCCACUGUGACAAAAAACACCAACACACCUGCACAAAUACUCAGCAGACAUGUGAUUCAACAAAAAUAG